CAGAAUGUGGAGGUGACAUUUCUGGAACGUAUGGGUUAAUUGCCUCGCCUGGCUACCCUGGGAACUAUCCACCGAAUCGAGACUGCUAUUGGACAAUCAACACUGAUCCGGGACUUUCCAUCACUUUUUCCUUUGGAACAUUAUACCUCGAAAAUCACAACACCUGUGAAAAUGAUUACCUGGAGGUAAAUAUCACACAUUCAUAUGGCUAAGUUGAUUUUUUUUAAGUUAGUACAUUUUCUGAUAUAACAAAUAUAAUGAAGUUGAUAUAAACAUUAAUGGUGAUCUAAAGAUCUUAUAUUCAAAUGGAAUUAAACUGGUUUGAUAUUUUUAAGUGAAAUUAUGGAAUGGAGAGAUCAGGAAACAUUUGUGGAAAUGGGGGAGUAAUGGGGAGAGUGACAAAGAGAGGCAAUGAGAAGUACUGAAUGAGUGACUGACUUAUACAGGGUAAAUGAAGCUCUUGAAAGGAAUGCGUUUCUCCAAAAAUAAGGAGAAAGGAUUUAAUAUGAGAAAAGGUGGAUAAAAACACAGAAUUAAGAGGGAGUUGAGAAUGGCUAGGAAUAGAGUUUAUGUAAAUAUAUAUAUAAAAAGAACUACUUUUGUGGUUUGAUUAUUAGUGAAAAUAUUUGUCUGUCUGUUUGUCAUCUGUCAAAUCCACUAUUUUUACAUAUUUUUUUAUGACUUGAUGAAAAAAAUACAUUUAAUUUUACAUCAGUAAAAUAAUGUAAAUUUUAUUUAGAGACUCAUAACAUCAUAGAACUUUGUAACAACAAAAAUAGCAAUAUAUAAGUUAUCAGAAGAGGGCGGUGGAAAUAAAAAUCCAAGCUCUCUGAUAAAUGUCAAUACACUACAACUAAAAGACUGUGUACCAAUUAUUUGCGACACAUUUUGUUAGGAUACAUCAUAUUCUUUCUACUGUUAUUUAUUUAGACAUAUCAAUGAUCAAUAUUUUAAUAAGAACUUAAUAAAAUGUGCUGUUUGACUUUUUUUUUUUUUGCUAACGCACUGUUUUAGAUUAGAGAUGGCCUGCUUCCCCAAGAUACAGUCCUUAAAAAAUACUGUACUACUCAGUCACCUGUUCCACUC